CAACUCUAUUGACAGAAUUACAUGUAUUAAAAGUAGUUUAUUUUUCUUUCUCAAAAACUUCAGGCUGGAGAAUAGGGUGGUUUAAUAGAUCUGUGGAAAUCAGGCCCCUUGUGCAUUUUUUUCACCAUUUAAAUGAUGUCUACCACUUGGACGUUCCUUUAUGUUUGAAGAUAGCUGUCUGUGGUGUAGAUGGAAAUGGAGAAGAAAGUAGGAUAAGCAUUAUUGGACACUUCCACCCUGAAACCUUGUAACACAGCUAUAAAAGAGAGAUACUCCAUGAUGCUAGGAUGGGCCAUGUUUGGGACUCUCCGUCUGCCACAUACAUCAAUUUCCAAACCUGACUCACGAUGAACCACCAAAUACAAAAAAAUAUAUAAAAAAGAAUAUUGGAGGCCUAUACUCAAAGUGACAACCUGCUGAUACAUUUUAAUCUAUGGCAUCAGUAGUUCUUUGAGCUCUCCACUAGAUUGAAAAUUAUAACUGGAAAAUAAUUUAAGGGCAUAAAGCAUCUUCGAUUUCUCUGAAGUACUCCUUGCAACUUGUACAGUGCCAGCAAUGCUAAGAACAAAGUUAUGUGUUCAAUAAAUUCUCACUGA